rnacentral:piRNA from 1 species
UGUGAAAAUAUGCACUCUGUGGAAGGCUC